rnacentral:rRNA from 1 species
GACGAACGCUGGCGGCGUGCUUAACACAUGCAAGUCGAACGAAGUGGCGAACGGGUGAGUAACGCGUAAUCAACCUGCCCAUCAGAGGGGAACAACAGUUGGAAACGACUGCUAAUACCGCAUACUGAAGGAGGGGCUUGCGGCUGAUUAGAUAGUAGGAGGGGUAACGGCCCACCAAGGCGAUGAUCAGUAGCCGGUCUUAGAGGAUGAACGGCCAAAGUGGGACUGGUACCCGGGCCAGACUCCUUAGGGAGGCAGCAGUGGGGAAUCUUCCGCAAUGGACGAAAGUCUGAAGGAGCAACGCCGGGUGGUUGAGGACGGCCUUCGGGGUGUAAAGCUCUGUUAAUCGGGACGCGGUACCGGAAUAGAAAGCCACGGCUAACUACGUGCCAGCAGCCGCGGUAAUAC